AAUCUGGUGGAACAGGAAAGCAUCAGGAUGAUGCAGCUUCAGGAUGAAGAAGUGGAUGCUCUCAGGAAGAGAGAAAAAGGAUUAGUGUCAGGAAGACGCUCAGGACGUUUCAGGAUUGAAACCAGGGACACCUCCAGGAAGGAGAUCGAGAGCCAGCACUGGAAUGUUGGUGGGUCAGGAAGACUGAGGAACCGCGUCAGGAUGAUGCUAUAGGAUUUACGAAGGAUUGUUUGGUCAGGAUGGCCGAAGGAAAAGUUUUCAAGGAUUGAGCAGGGAGCACACUUUGUAGCGGGAUAGCUAUAAAACGAACCGGGGGCACUGUUAACGCAGUGCCCCCACUUUUUUUU
rnacentral:other from 1 species